ensembl:lncRNA
GUCAAUGGCUGCCAAUGGGGUGGGGGCGCGGCCUAUGGGGGGCUGGCUUAAUGAAGGGGCGUGGCCUUAAUGAAGGGCGGGGCGUGGCAUAUGGGGGCGUGGCUUAAUGAGGGGGCGUGCUAUGGCCCCAUUGAAGUCCCAAUUAUGUCAAUGGCGCCAAUGGGGUGGGGGCGUGGCCUAUGGGGCGUGGCUUGAUGAAGGGGGCGUGGCUUAAUGGCAGGGGGGUGGCUUAUGAACUCAUUGAGUUCCAUUACUGUCAAAUAGAGGCCCAUGGGGUGAGGGUGGGGGGCGUGGCUUAAUGAGGGGGCGUUGGCCUAUGGGUCCAUUGAGUCCCAUUAUGUCAAUGGCGGCCAAUGGGGUGGGGGCGCGGCCUAUGGGGGGCUGGCUUAAUGAAGGGGCGUGGCCUUAAUGAAGGGCGGGGCGUGGCAUAUGGGGGCGUGGCUUAAUGAGGGGGCGUGCUAUGGCCCCAUUGAAGUCCCAAUUAUGUCAAUGGCGCCAAUGGGGUGGGGGCGUGGCCUAUGGGGCGUGGCUUGAUGAAGGGGGCGUGGCUUAAUGGCAGGGGGGUGGCUUAUGAACUCAUUGAGUUCCAUUACUGUCAAAUAGAGGCCCAUGGGGUGAGGGUGGGGGGCGUGGCUUAAUGAGGGGGCGUUGGCCUAUGGGUCCAUUGAGUCCCAUUAUGUCAAUGGCGCCAAGUGGGGUGGGGGCCGGCCUAAUGGGGGGCGUGGCUUAACUGACAGGGGCGUGGCUUAAUGAAGGGGGGCGUGGCAUAUGGGGGCGUGGCUUAAUGAAGGGGGGUGGGGCCUAUGGUCAUUGGAGUUCAUUAUGUCAAUAGAGGGCAAUUGGGGUGGGGGGGCGUGGCCUAUGGGGGGUGGCCUUUAAUGAAGGGGGCAUGGCCUAUGGGUCCAUUGAGUCCCAUUAUGUCAAUGGCGGCCAAUGGGGUGGGGCGUGGCCUAUGGGGUGGCUUAAUGGGAGGGGCGUGGCCUAUGGCUCCAAUUGAGAACGGCAUUAUACUUAAUGAAGGGGCGUGGCUUAAUGAAGGGGGCGUGGCCUAUGGGUCCAUUGAGUCCCAUUAUGUCAAUGGCGGCCAAUGGGGUGGGGGCGCGGCCUAUGGGGGGCGUGGCUUAAUGAAGGGGCGUGGCUUAAUGAAGGGGGCGUGGCAUAUGGGGGCGUGGCUUAAUGAAGGGGGCGUGGCCUAUGGCUCCAUUGAGUUCCAUUAUGUCAAUAGAGGCCAAUGGGGUGGGGGGGCGUGGCCUAUGGGGGGCGUGGCUUAAUGAAGGGGGCGUGGCCUAUGGGUCCAUUGAGUCCCAUUAUGUCAAUGGCGGCCAAUGGGGUGGGGGCGUGGCCUAUGGGGGCGUGGCUUAAUGGAGGGGGCGUGGCCUAUGGCUCCAUUGAGACGCAUUAUACUUAAUGAAGGGGGCGUGGCUUAAUUAACGAAGGGGGCGUGGCUUAUGGGUCCAUUGAGUCCCAUUAUACUUAAUGAAGGGGGCGUGGCCUAAUGAAGGGGGCGUGGCUUAAUGCCCCUUGCGUUCCCGUAUGUCGAUGGCGGCCAAUCGCUUCGCGGCUUCUAUGAGCUGCAGGGCGUUGAGCAGCGCCUUCAGAACAGCCAAUGGGAGCAGGGCUUUGCGCAUAGUAAUGAGGGCUAUUGGGGGGUUAAAGGGGAUAAAGAGUAAUAGGUCAAUAGGGUAUAGGGGGUCAUAGAACCCACAUAGAACCCCAUAGACCCCCAUAGAGCCCCAUAGAGCCCCAUAGCAACCCAUAGAGCCCCAUAGAGCCCCAUAGAACCCAUACAGUCCCAUAGAUCCCCAUAGAAACCCAUAGAGCCCCAUAGACCCCAUAGAGCCCCACAGAAUCCCAUAGAGUCCCACAGAACCCCAUAGAGACCCAUAGACCCCAUAGACCCCAUAGAGCCCCAUAGACCCCAUAGAGCCCCAUAGAGCCCCAUAGGGACCCCAUAGAACCCCAUAGAAACCCAUAGAAACCCAUAGAGCCCAUAGAGCCCCAUAGAGCCCCACAGAAUCCCAUAGAGUCCCACAGAACCCCAUAGAGCCCCAUAGACCCCAUAGAACCCCACAGACCCCAUAGAGCCCCAUAGAAUGCCAUACAGCCCCAUAGCCCCCCCAUAGACCCCAUAGAGUCCCAUAGAAUCCCAUAGAGCCCCAUAGACCCCAUAGAGCCCCAUAGCGACCCAUAGAGCCCCAUAGACCCCAUAGAGACCCAUAGACCCCAUAGAUUCCCAUAGAGCCUCAUAGGGACCCCAUAGAACCCCAUAGA